GGAUUUGCAGCAAUGCAUCUGGUAGGGGAGCAUUCUACAUGCGGCGAAGCAGGAAGGUAACUGACUGUGGAGGGUGUAGAAAAGCAAAUGUAGGCAUAAGUAACGAUAAGGCGGGAGAGAAACCCGCCCACCGAAAGACUAAGGUUUCCUGAUCAACGCUAAUCGGAUCAGGGUUAGUCGGGGCCUAAGGUGAAGCCGAAGGGCGUAGCCGAUGGACAACUGGUUAAUAUUCCAGUACUUUUUAUAACUGCGAUGCGGUGACGGAGUAGUGACACUGACGCGAACUGACGGAAUAGUUCGUUAAAGGCCGUAGGUAUAUGGACUGUAGUUAAGUACGCAGACCAUGCUGAAAGCUGAUAGUACCUUGAGCCUUCGGGUAAGAGGAUAGUUCAGGUAAUCAGACUUCCAAGAAAACCCGCUAAGCUUCAGGUUAUAAAAACCCGUACCGUAAACCGACACAGGUAGUCGAGGAGAGAAUCCUAAGGUGCUCGAGUGAAUCAUGGCUAAGGAACUCGGCAAAAUGGCCCUGUAACUUCGGGAGAAGGGGCGCUGGUAGCAAUAUCAGCCGCAGUGAAAAGGCCCAGGCGACUGUUUAACAAAAACACAUGGCUAUGCAAAAUCGAAAGAUGACGUAUAUGGCCUGACACCUGCCCGGUGCCGGAAGGUUAAGAGGGGAUGUUAGGGUUAAACCGAAGCAUUGAAUCGAAGCCCCGGUAAACGGCGGCCGUAACUAUAACGGUCCUAAGGUAGCGAAAUUCCUUGUCGGGUAAGUUCCGACCUGCACGAAUGGUGUAACGAUCUGGGCGCUGUCUCAGCCAUGAGCUCGGUGAAAUUGUGGUAUCGGUGAAGACGCCGGUUACCCGCAACGGGACGGAAAGACCCCAUGCACCUUCACUACAACUUAACAUUGAUAUCGGAUACAGGAUGUGUAGGAUAGGUGGGAGACUGUGAUCCGGCUUCGCUAGGAGUCGGUUAGUCAACGUUGAAAUACCACCCUUUCUGUAUUUGGUGUCUAACUCCAUUAUGUGGAGGACAUUGUUUGGCGGGUAGUUUGACUGGGGUGGUCGCCUCCAAAAAGGUAACGGAGGCUUUCAAAGGUAAGCUCAGUACGCUUGGUAACCGUACGCGGAGUGCAAUAGCAUAAGCUUGCUUGACUGUGAGGCAGACAAGCCGAGCAGGGUCGAAAGACGGAUAUAGUGAUCCGGUGGUUCUGCAUGGAAGGGCCAUCGCUCAAAGGAUAAAAGGUACGCUGGGGAUAACAGGCUGAUCUCCCCCAAGAGCUCAUAUCGACGGGGAGGUUUGGCACCUCGAUGUCGGCUCGUCACAUCCUGGGGCUGGAGAAGGUCCCAAGGGUUGAGCUGUUCGCUCAUUAAAGUGGCACGCGAGCUGGGUUCAGAACGUCGCGAGACAGUUCGGUCCCUAUCUGUUGUGGGCGUUGGAAGUUUGAGUGGGGCUGACCUUAGUACGAGAGGACCGGGUUGGACUAACCUCUGGUGAAUCUGUUAUGGCGCCAGCUGUAUUGCAGAGUAGCUACGUUGGGAAUAGAUAAGCGCUGAAAGCAUCUAAGUGCGAAACUAGCCACAAGAUGAGACUUCCAUUGAGGGUCGUAGCAGACUACUACGUUGAUAGGUUACAGGUAUAAAGGUGGUGACAUCAUAGCCGAGUAAUACUAAUUGCCCGAAGCUUUCUCAU
rnacentral:rRNA from 1 species